CUUUGAGCCAAACCAGGAAGUUGUUUUCUCCUCCCGGUUCCCCCCCUCCCCCCGCCCCCGACCCCGCCUUUGAUUUCCCUGUGGCCUUUAGACAGGCGUCCGGCUGGCUGCCCUAGAUAAGGGAACUGAGUUGUCACUGCUCCCCAGUGAUACUAGGUGGGGUGGCAGGAGGGCUCUUCUGAGCAGGUAACAGCCAGCAGCGGAGGAGAAAGGGUCCUGUGGUAGCUCUCUAUGUCCAGACCCCAGGGCCCGGUGCUCCCCUGCAGCGGCUCAUCCACAGCAGCAGAAACCACCGGGCAUCUAGAACGCUCGGGGAGAACCACAGUGAGUGGCAUGUGCUUGGAUUCUCCUUGUCAUUGUUGAGAGACACUGAGCUGUGGCUGAGGGAGGAGGGGGUCCCGAGAGAGAACUUGGGGGACAAAGGAAGCCACGGAGGGGUGUCACUUGGGACAGGCAAGGGGGUUUCUGCCGAGAUGCUCAGUACCAGUGGGUGUGGGGCCGCUGUGGGAUUUGAGGAAAACUGACAAUGGGGAAAACCCGGAGUUAGGCAAGCCGUGAGGUGCUGACCCUGCUCUGAGAAGAUGCCAGGAAAUUCCACGGAAGCAAUGCCAAGUCUGGGCUACGGAGGCGGCGAGGGAACGUGCUACCCCCUGACUGAGGCAGGGGUGGGGUGAGAGGUCUGAGGCCAGAGAGGAAGGAGGCCGGGAAGAUUCCAGAUUUGGGAGAGUGGGAGGAAUUAGUGGGCGGGGGGCUGCAUGGGGGUGGCUUGGAAGAAAGGUGGAUGGAGAGGAGGAACGUGAAUCAGCUGGAAAGUCUGUAUGAACUUCCUCCGGAUCAAGUCCCUGUACCUGUGACUGACCUAAUUUGGGGACCAGACCUACACCGUGGUUUAGCAUUCACAGAGUUGGUUAAAUGACAUCCUGUCAACGAAUGCCAGAAACGUGUCCGAGAUCAUUCAUCUAUUCAAUUCGUCUUUUCCGCAAAUAUGUAUAUGGAGUGCCUGGCGUGUGCCCAGCGCCAUCCUGGGUGAACAAGGUGAACAUCAAUGAACGAGGCAGGCAAACAUCCUGAACUUCACGGAGCUUACGUGCUACAGACAAAAGCAGAAUACGGUAAAUUGUAGGGUAGUGGCAGAGACGUGCUAUAGGGAAAAAGCAGGAAAGAGGGUAGGAAGGGCCAGGGGGGUGCAAGAGUUCACAUUUCACAUAGGAUGGUUCAGAGAAAGCUUGGCAACAGGUGUGCACAGGAGCGGCACCUGAAGGGGCCCGAUAACUAAUGCUCGCGAUCUCAUUUUUCCCUCGUUACUAAGGGACGUCGGAAAGCACACGAUUCAGUGGGUUGCAGUCAUACCAUCUCGAAUCUCAGCUCCGAAUCUCAGCCUUGGGAGGGAAGGCACCUUCCAAGGGUGUUCCUUCUGGGAACUAAACUGAACUAAAAAAUCUGUUCCAAGCACCCGAAACCUCUUCCAGUGCCUUCGAACUCCCACCGCCACUGUCCACACUUACGCUCAGGAGGCGACCCCAUCUCUGCUUUUGUCCACCCCCUGGGCUCUGGCUUCAAAUGCAUGGUGGCAUCUCCAUUCUUCCCUCCUCCAUAGAUAGAGCUGUUCCUCUGAUAGUAAAGGUUCAUUUCUCCUCCUGCACUCUGAUCGCCAGCAGCCAGAAUCUAUUAGAUUCUUCACGAUAUUGAAAUGCUCUGGUGUCUCCCUUAAAGGUUUUUUUUUAAUGUUUAUUUAUUUUUGAGACACAGAGAGAGACAGAGCGUGAGCGGGGGAGGGGCAGGGAGAGAGAGAAAGACACAGAACCCGAAGAGGCUCCGGGCUCUGAGCUGUCAGCACAGAGCCCGACGCGGGGCUCGAACUCACGGACCGUGAGAUCACGACCUGAGCCGAAGUCAGACACUUAACCGACUGAGCCACCCAGGCGCCCCUGGUGUCUCCCUUAAAUAAAGACUGUAAACCCAUCUUU